GCAAGUCGAACGAUAAGCCAUUUCGGUGGUGGACAGUGGCGCACGGGUGAGUAACACGUGGGGACCUGCCUGAUAGUAAAGAAAAACAGUUGGAAACGACUGCUAAUACUUUAUACGCCCUUCGGGGGAAAGAUUUAUCGCUAUCAGAUGGACCCGCGCUAGAUUAGAUAGUUGGUGAGGUAAUGGCUCACCAAGUCUACGAUCUAUAGCUGGUUUGAGAAGAUUAUC
rnacentral:rRNA from 1 species